UCUAAAUUCCAUCGAUUACACUCAUAUGUCAAAAAACAAAAAACCCAACCGUCGCUUCUGCUUAAAUUCCUUCCAUAACAUCGCUCACUCUCCUCUCUUAAUUGCCAUACGUGUUUUUCUCUUCAAUCCUCUGUGUUUUAGUACUCUUCUUUUUUCCCAAUCGCCACAGAAGAGUUGUUUCUCUCAAUUCUCAAGAGCAUGUUUAUGUUGAUGCCCAUGAAGUGCUCGACAAAAAAGCCCUAUAGAGGUACAAUUCAAACGGCUGCAGGACAAACCACUCAACAAAUGCAGGUCGGUUAUUCUUUUACACCUUGUAUAGUUAAUAGUUGGGACAAAAAAGGAACAAACGACCUUGAAUAAUUGUGAUCAUUCAAUUAUACAGUGUCUUUAAAUGUUCAUUACAGUUUAGUCAUAUGGAGUUUCGACUAUUAGAUUUUCAACUUCCUGUUAGUUCAUAUAUUCCUUUUGAUUAUAAAAAAAUCUUGUAUAUUUCUAUUUCUAUAUUUGCCCUUCUCUCAUAUUAUUUUUCGCUCCACUCUUUCAUGCUUUGAUUUACGAGCGACUUAUGCAUUUAACAUACAAGCAACAUUUUAAUAAUCAGAAUACGACUUAUUUGCAGUAGCAUUGCAUUGCUUAGGAAAUCUGUUUUUUAAUUUUCUCAUAUUCUUGCCUUUUUAUCUAAGUAUUCUUUCUCUUAAUUAUCAUGUUGUUUCUGCCUUUUUGGGGUGUUUGACAUUUAAAUGAAGCAUAAAGUUAGCUUAUACUCUGAUCAGUUCUUAUACGGUUGAGGGGAAUAACGGAAAUACCUAUCUAUCAGCUAUUGGAAUGGUUAAAACUAUUAAAAUAAAGGUGACAAUUAAAGUUGCAAAGCCAAUAGUUUCUCUUCACACCCCACUUUAACCUUAGAUUUCAAUCAACCCACCAUAAUUGCCCACCACAAUGCGGCAAUAUUAAUCUAACGGGGACAACCGUUGAUUUCUGAUGCUGUUAAAAUUGACAGAAUGAAGCUUGUGAAGAGAACACUCAAUGGCACGAUGAUAUAAAUUACAUGCACUUACACUUGCAAAAGAUGCAGUAUCAAUAUUUGGCAAAUUUGAAGCAACAACUUGCUUUUCUUACUUUCAGUAUCAAUAUUUGGCAAAUUUGGAGAUUCCUUCUAAUCUUUUAUCAUACAGGAUUUGACCAUACUUGUCUUUCUCUUUAUCCUCUGUUUUUUAGUACUCUUCUUUUUUCCAAUUGCCACAGAGGAGUUGUUUCUAUCAAUUCUCAAGGUAAGUCUUUUUUUUGUCAUUCUCAAUGUAAAUCUUUUUUGUGUGAUUUUGGAACAUAGUUAUUCUCUUUCAUGUUUAGUUUGUUUUCUCAGCUUUCUGCCUGCAAGACUGAAGGUAUCUCUAUUGUUGUCUAUUCCCAAUUUUAAUAUUUAAGAUUUUGUCUUUUUGUUAUUCAACUUCUGAAAUAUUUCACAAAAUUUUUAUCUGUUGCUUUUCAUUGUUUUUGGGUAUUGGACUUUUUAGUUUCCAUUGUCUCCAACAUUCUUUUUCAACAUAUACUUGGUGGUGGUUGAUAAGUUUAUCAUUUGAUUAUUGGUAAUUGGUGUUUGGAUCUUUUAAAUUAGCCGUCAUGCUUCCUACUAUUUUUUAAUAUUCUAUUUCGCGAAGAUUUGAUUUUUUGGUUUCUUUUUCACUUUGUUCUGUUGGAAAUUUAAAUUUACUGUGAACUUGGAGUUCUAAGAUGUCAGACACAAGCGUAAGGCCUUAAAGCCAGUCUCUGCGAUUCCGGGUACUGAAAUAGUAUAAAUUUUCUUAGUUUGUCACCAAUCAAGAUUUAAUUCUUAAUUGGUACAAAACAUUAAUGCUUCAGCUCCAAUUUUCAUGCUUUUCUUUUUCCAUACAAGUUUGUGAAUAAUUUAGUUGUUGCGUAAUCAUUAUCACUAAUAAUUUAUUAUUCAAAUUCUCCAGCUGUCCCCCUUUAGCUAUCCUUGGAGCAUUUUCUGUUAGCUGUCCCCAUUUAGCUAUCCUUGGAGCAUUUUUUGUCAGGUAAGCAUCUAACCUAUUGUAUAUCGUCUAUAUUUUGUUAACCUGCGGUAGAGUUAAUCUGGAGCAUUGAUUGAGUCCAUGGUAUUAUAGUUUGUUAAUCAGUCAUUUAUAGAAUAUUCUGUGAAAUUGAAGUCACUAUUGGUUAGUAUUAUGUGAAACUGAAGUCACAGUUAGUUUUCUAACUCGGGGCAACAGAGUUUUAUAGAAUUGAGUCGCCCGUAGAGAAGUAGAGAAUCAAAAAUAUACUUUUUCUCUGAGUUUGUUUUUAUUCUUAAGUUUAUUUUGUUUUCAUUCUUAAGUUUAUUUUUCAUGUGGUCUAUAACCGCUCCAUCUAGAUUAUUUGUCAUUCUUCUCAACUUGACAUUUUAGCUUUCAUCACUUUUAGUGACCACAUUUAGAGGUUAAUACUAGAACAAAUGAAGUUGGAAGCAAUUGUGUGGGAACCCCUUUGCUAAAGAGGUUGAGUUUGAGAAUAGGAAUAGAUUUCUGAGGAUCAACUAUCGAUAGUUGACGUGUGAUUAGUUUUCUACAUGUUACAUUUAUUCAUUGAGGUAUAUCAUAAUCUAACAACUUUGUGUUUGUAUUUACCAAAAUCUUUCAGCAAUGACAUCUUUGGUAGAAUUCAGUUUGCUAAUUAUUGAAAGAAGCCAACAUUUGUAUUCCUUAUGGAAAGAAGAUAGAAGCUCAUAUCUUUUAUACAUAUAAGAACUAGGUAAGCUUGGCAAUGAGGGAGCAAGAAUCGUGUUUACCCUUUGAGGCGGAAACAGAGAUAGAGGUUCAACGUAGUUGGAGCUUCCAAGGUCAUAAAUGUCUUCUACAUAGUCGAGUGUAUCUUAGUAGUAGGAUUUACAAGUUUGAUUCCUUCUCUUCUUUAAAGUCUAUUUGUAACCUGAUAGGACUAUCUUUUAAAAAUUGAUUAAGUUCUAGAUUAUC